rnacentral:rRNA from 1 species
AGCCAGACUCCUACGGGAGGCAGCAGUGGGGAAUAUUGCACAAUGGGCGAAAGCCUGAUGCAGCGACGCCGCGUGAAGGAUGAAGUAUUUCGGUAUGUAAACUUCUAUCAGCAGGGAAGAAAAUGACGGUACCUGAUUAAGAAGCCCCGGCUAACUACGUGCCAGCAGCCGCGGUAAUACGUAGGGGGCAAGCGUUAUCCGGAUUUACUGGGUGUAAAGGGAGCGUAGACGGCAUUGCAAGUCCGGAGUGAAAGCCCACGGCCCAACCGUGGGACUGCUCUGGAAACUGUAGAGCUGGAGUGCGGGAGGGGCAGGCGGAAUUCCUAGUGUAGCGGUGAAAUGCGUAGAUAUUAGGAGGAACACCGGCGGCGAAGGCGGCCUGCUGGACCGUAACUGACGUUGAGGCUCGAAAGCGUGGGGAGCAAACAGGAUUAGAUACCCGUGUA